rfam:Nematostella vectensis strain CH2 x CH6 NEMVEscaffold_4557_Cont48053, whole genome shotgun sequence.
GUUUCCGUAGUGCAGUGGUUAUCACGUCUGCUUUACACGCAGAAGGUUCCCAGUUCGAGGCUGGGCGGAAACA